rnacentral:misc_RNA from 1 species
UUGAGGGCAGAGAAUGGAGAUCUUUGUGUUGGGAUUCGAAGAGCUAAGAGGGGAAUUGGAGGAGGUCCUGAGUCUUCUUGGAAUCCUGCAGGUGGGAACUGUGUUAUGCCUUAUGGAGGAUUCAGUGCUUUUUUUAGAGAGGAAGAAAAUAAGCUAUUAAGAAAUGGAAAUGGGAAUAGUAAUGGGAAUGGAAAUGGUUCCAGAGUGAAUGGGGUUUUGAUGGGGAAGGGGAAAGUGAGGCCUGAAUCAGUUACUGAAGCAGCUACUCUCGCUGCAAAUGGACAACCCUUUGAAGUCUUUUACUACCCUCGAGCUAGUACUCCUGAGUUCUGUGUGAAGGCUUCUUUGGUAAAAACAGCUUUGCAAAUUCGGUGGUGUUCUGGGAUGAGGUUCAAGAUGGCCUUUGAAACUGAAGAUUCUUCCAGGAUUAGUUGGUUCAUGGGGACUAUUUCUUCUGCUCAAGUUGCUGAUCCUCUUCGUUGGCCGGAUUCACCAUGGAGGCUCCUCCAGGUUACAUGGGAUGAACCUGAUUUGCUUCAAAAUGUGAAACGUGUUAGCCCAUGGCUAGUGGAAUUGGUAUCAAACAUGCCCGCCAUCCAUCUAUCCCCUUUCUCACCACCAAGGAAGAAGUUGAGAUUCCCACAACACCCUGAUUUUCCCCUUGAUGGUCAAUUUCCAAUUCCGUCGUUUUCCGGCAACCUCCUUGGGCCCAGCAACCCCUUUAGUUGUCUACCGGACAGCAGUCCUGCUGGCAUGCAGGGAGCCAG